CUUCAAGUGACUCAUGCCAUUUGGUUGUCCAUUAACAUGAAUUAAAAGAAUCUUUACCUGCAAAUUUUGUUGUAUGAAGACUUGAGACCAGCAUACCAAAAUGGGAACAAUAAAGAGCUCUUGAAGACAAGCAUCAGAUCUGGAUUUACCUUAUUCAGCCUCAAGUGACUCAUGCCAUUUUGUUGUCCAUUAACAUGAGUUGAAAGAAUCGUUACCUGCAAAUUUUGUUGUAUGAAGAUAAUCGGCUGAGUUUUUAGCUGACUUGAGAUCCGCUUCCAAAAAUGGAAACAAUGAAGAGCUCUUGAAGUCAAGCAUUAGUGCUAUGGGUAAGUCUUCGAAUUCAGAAUUCUCAUAGGCGCGCAGUUCAAAGAUUUGAUUCCAAUGGAAAGUAGUAAGAAGAAGCAAAUGGGUUUAUCAUUCUCGAUCUUUCUGCUCCCACCAAACAGCCAUCCAAUUCCAUGGGGAGAAAAACUCCCAAGUAUUUUCUACAUUGCAAAAGAUAUUAGUGGAAAUUGAAUGUUCUUCGAAAUGUUGGUGGCAAUGGAGAGAAGAAAGAGAUGGUUUGACAUGAGAGGGAAUUAAGAGAAAAGUUAUAUAGCGAGAAAAUAUGGCAUAUAUAUUGUAUACAAAAAUAUAUGACGGAGCUGAAUUACUUUAUUUUUGCUUGAGCAUAUAAAUUCAUGACAAGUUUUCUCUAACUAAUUUUAUGUUUUCUUCGUUUAUAUAAAAUGAUAUUUGGGUUCUAAUACAUAUUUUAAACGCAAGAUUUUGUUGAAA